rnacentral:rRNA from 1 species
UACGAAGGGGGCUAGCGUUGCUCGGAAUCACUGGGCGUAAAGCGCACGUAGGCGGCUUUCUAAGUCAGGGGUGAAAUCCUGGAGCUCAACUCCAGAACUGCCUUUGAUACUGGAGAGCUUGAGCCCGGAAGAGGUGAGUGGAACUCCGAGUGUAGAGGUGAAAUUCGUAGAUAUUCGGAAGAACACCAGUGGCGAAGGCGGCUCACUGGUCCGGUACUGACGCUGAUGUGCGAAAGCGUGGGGAGCAAACAGG